rnacentral:lncRNA from 1 species
GUGCUGCUAUCAAGGACACAGGAGUAGGACAUUUUGGAUCCAAGGACCAAUAGGUUGACUCAUUCACUAGUGGAGAGUAUCAAAGAAAGAAAAAUUUAAAAACUAAACAACAGAUUUGACAAGCUGCCUGCCAUCUGAAAGUGAGAAAGAAUGUGAUAUUAAUUGAGCAUCUUCUGAGCAAGCUAUAUGCUGUACAUAUGCUUUUCUUCAAAACAUCCCUUCAAGAAAAUGGAAACCCAAAUCUGUGCCACAUUCCUCUGCAAAGAGUGUCCAAAUGAGGGAGAGAAGAGGAAAGAGGGGGCGGAAGGAAUUCACCGUACUCUCCAGUACCCCAGUUGCUGGCUGGUUAAUGAAGCAUUCUUCUCAUCAAGCUGCCUCAGUUAUUUACCAAGAGAAUGACAACCCAUUCCCCACCCCCAGCUCGAACACCCACUGUGAUCAGCUCCCUCACUUCAUGACAAUGAGGCGAUAUGUGUGGGACUGGUUUUCGCAUAACUACAAAGCUUCAAAAAAAAAGUGAGAAUAAAUAUUUACUUCCAGUGUAUUUCAAGCAACACAGAAGGAAAAUCUUCAAUAUUAAACUGACUUAUUUCCAACGAUAUCUUGCAUUUUACUGUGGGUAAAAUGAAUACUUUGAAUAAGAUUUUCCAAUUUUAGACAAAAAGAGGGCAAUUUUUUGAUGAUAGGUUUCAUCUGCUGUGACAAAUGUUAGUGUGAUCCACUUGCUUGAGGGCUCGUAUAAUCAUUUCAUAGCGUGUGUGUGUGUGUGUGUGUGUGUGUGUGUGUGUAUGUGUGUGUAUACACCUCACAUAGGCAGGACAGAAGAAAUGAGUGUAGAAUCAAGCUCAUACUGGAUGUCUGAUGUGUACAAUGCAUGUGCAUAUGCAUUUGAGUUUGGAAAAAAUUCCCAAGCUAUACAUGGAAUUUUUUUUUUAAGUUAGUCACUUUUUGGUCCCACAGCUUUUAUUUUGGAGCUUUUCUGGUAAAAAGGACAUCUCUAUCCAAUAUCACCUGGACGAGAGUGCUGUUCAAACACAGGUGCUAUUACUUCAGCCCAUUUCUAGCUCAUGAUCUAAGAAAUAUGCUCUGCUGAGUAGAGUUCCAUAAAAGCAGGGCCUGUGACUCAGUCAUCUCUGUCCCUCAUGAUACUCAGGACAGCAAACAAAUGCUUUCCAAACAAUUUCAGAGUGAAUUCUAGGAGGGCUAUUUCAAGGUCAACUCUAUAAUUUAUCUCCUUGUUGGCUUUCUUCCCUCAUCUCACAACUUCCAAAAAUCCGGCCAAGGGGCAUUCAUAUUCACAUGCUGGAAAUGAUUUAAUUCUAUCUUCUAUAUGGAUAUCACUAACUUGGCAUGAAAA